rnacentral:rRNA from 1 species
GACGAACGCUGGCGGCGUGCUUAACACAUGCAAGUCGAACGGGAACCUUUAUUUCGGUAAGGGUGAGAGUGGCAAACGGGUGAGUAACACGUAGGCAACCUGCCGACAGGAUGGGGACAACAUUCCGAAAGGAAUGCUAAUACCGAAUGGAGUCCGAGGAUGGCAUCAUCCGCGGAUAAAAGAUGGCCUCUUAACAAUGCUAUCGCCUGUCGAUGGGCCUGCGUCUGAUUAGCCAGUUGGCGGGGUAACGGCCCACCAAAGCGACGAUCAGUAGCCGGUCUGAGAGGAUGAACGGCCACAUUGGGACUGAGACACGGCCCAGACUCCUACGGGAGGCAGCAGUGGGGAAUCUUCCACAAUGGGCGAAAGCCUGAUGGAGCAACGCCGCGUGAGUGAAGAAGGUCUUCGGAUCGUAAAGCUCUGUUGCACGGGACGAAAACCGAGUUUGAGAAUAUUGAGCUUGGGGACGUACCGAGCGAGGAGCCACG